UGGGGAAUAUUGGACAAUGGGCGAAAGCCUGAUCCAGCCAUGCCGCGUGUGUGAAGAAGGUCUUCGGAUUGUAAAGCACUUUAAGUUGGGAGGAAGGGCAUUAACCUAAUACGUUAGUGUUUUGACGUUACCGACAGAAUAAGCACCGGCUAACUCUGUGCCAGCAGCCGCGGUAAUACAGAGGGGGCAAGCGUUAAUAGGAAUUACUGGGCGUAAAGCGCGCGUAGGUGGUUUGUUAAGUUGGAUGUGAAAUCCCCGGGCUCAACCUGGGAACUGCAUUCAAAACUGACUGACUAGAGUAUGGUAGAGGGUGGUGGAAUUUCCUGUGUAGCGGUGAAAUGCGUAGAUAUAGGAAGGAACACCAGUGGCGAAGGCGACCACCUGGACUAAUACUGACACUGAGGUGCGAAAGCGUGGGGAGCAAACA
rnacentral:rRNA from 1 species